CUUUGCUGGACACUUUGAAUGACACACAGAGCAUUGAGAAGAAAAGGGAUGUUGUUAUCUGCUGCCUCAUUAGCUACCUCGGGGAAAGACAAGAAGAUCUUUUUCAUGACUGCCAGGAAUGUGAGGAUUACACAGACAAUAUGAUGAAGGUGAUCGUGAUCCACAACAUCAUGGCUGAGGAGGAUCCAUCAGAUGUGUUCAUUGUGAUUGAGGGAAACCAAGUGAUGGAGGGAUGUGGAAGCCGAACAAAGGCAUGUGUACAACUGAUGGGACUGAUAUAUGCCCUCAACCUCGAAUAUCCGAAGGAGCUGAAGAACACAUUUGACACUUUUCAAAAACUAUUUUUGGAACCUGACGGGGCGAAACUACUGAACAAGGUCCAUGGCCUCA
ensembl:lncRNA